CGAUAGCUCAGCUGGUAGAGCGGAGGACUGUAGAGGCACUGCUCGCGGAAAUCCUUAGGUCGCUGGUUCGAUUCCGGCUCGAAGGA
rnacentral:tRNA from 1 species